rnacentral:rRNA from 1 species
GACGAACGCUGGCGGCGUGCCUAAUACAUGCAAGUCGAACGCAGUGGGGACGGGUGAGUAACCCGUGGGUAACCUCCCAUCAGUGGGGAUAACACUUGGAAACAGGUGCUACACCGAUACUGAUGGAUGGACCCGCGGGGCAUUAGCUAGUUGGUGAGGUAACGGCUCACCAAGGCCACGAUUCAUAGCGGACCUGAGAGGAGGAGCAGCCACACUGGGACUGAGACACGGCCCAGACUCCUACGGGAGGCAGCAGGGGGGAAUAUUGCACAAUGGGCGCAAGCCUGAUGCAGCCAUGCCGCGUGUAUGAAGAAGGCCUUCGGGUUGUAAAGUACUUUUGGUAGGGAGGCGUUACCGGCAGAAGAAGCACCGGCUAACUCCGUGCCAGCAGCCGCGGUAAUAC